GGCGGGGCCAACAGAACAAGCCUGCAUGUGAGCAGCUGCAAACAAUCCAUUUUAAUUCCAAGUCAGUGUUUAAGGACCCUGGGUGUUCUAGGCAGGGAGGUGGAAGCGGAGGUUGAAGUAAAACUGGAAUUGGAUUUGGCAGGCAUAAAUGACUGACUGCGUCAUGGAAUUAUCUACAGCUAUGUGACUUUGGGGACUUGCUUCCUUUCUCUGGGCCUCAGUUUCUCCUUCGACAAACCAGGAAUAAUUCCUAAGUUUCUUUCCAGGUAAGUCUCUGUUCCUGCUUUUAACGCUAUUGUCUUGGAAAAAGUCAUGUAUAUGAGGCAACAAGCCACACCUUACUCAUUCCUCCCUAGUCCCCAGACUAUUUGACCAUGUGCCCUAGAGCAGAACACCUGAACCUUACCAAUACCUAACCCAAGGCAGUGGUGGUGAAGAGCAGAAGCUCUGAAAUUGACCGGCCUGCAAUUGAGCCUGUUUCACCACCAGAAGUUUCUAUCCUGUUUCUAUCCAGCAGUGUAAUUUUGGACAAGUUCCUUAAUAUCUUUGUGCUUCAGUUUCCUCAUCUACAAAAUGGGGAUGAAAAAUUCAGUUUUGAAAAUAAAAAACAUUAAUAUAUCUAAAUAUAUAGAAAUAUGCCUGGCUUAUAAUAGCUAUAUAAACGCUCACUAUGUUCAUCUUUGAAUGCUGAAGUAUUUGAAAAACAGCUUUUGUUCAGAUCCAGUAGGGGAAUCUUUUUAAGCAUUAACUUCAAUUAAAUAGGUAUUAUAAUAAUUCCUUAGAAUUAGUUAACAAAUGAAAUUCAUAAUAUAUGUCAUGUUCCUGUUUUAACAAUCACCAAGCAUAUGUAAAUAUUGUUUAAAAAUUCAUUUUAUGUAGAAUUGUGUCUGAAGUCAUUGUCAAAGAAUAAAGCUGAAGCUGGAGAAAUUUGA
rnacentral:lncRNA from 1 species